UAACAAAAUGUUCUUCCUUUAGUUUGCUUUUGCACUUAAAAUAUAUAUAAUUGACUUUUUUGGAAAAAAAUCUAAGAUUCAUUGCUUUGUUUUGUAAAGACCAAUAGGUUCUGUAUAGUCUUUUUUUAAAUUGUGGUAAAAUACACAUGGCAUUAAUUUACCAUUUUAACCAUUUUAAAGUGCACAAUUUGUGGCAUUAAGUACACUCACGUUGCUGUGCAACCAUCACCACCGUCCAUCUUCAGAACCUUUUUAUCUUCCUAAACUGAAACUCUGUACUCGUUAAGCACUCACUUCCCUUUUCCCCAUCCCCCAGCCCGUAGCAACCACGACUGUACUUUCUAUGAAUUUGACUACUCUAGGUACUGCAUGUAGGUGGAAUCAUACAGUAUUUGUCUUUUGCUUUGUUUUGUUUUGUUUUUUGUUUUCUAAGACAGGGUCUCACUCUGUCGCCCAGGCUGGAGUGCAGUGGUGCAAUCACAGUGUCCUUUUGUGACUGGUUUAUUUCACUUAGUGCCAUGUUUUCAAGGUUCAUCCAUGUUGUUGCAUGUCUCAGAACUUCCUUUUUUAGGCUAAUAUUCUUGCAUGUAUUUACCUAGUUUUGCUUAUCCAUUCAGCCAUUGAUGGACACUUGGGUUGCUUCCAUCUUUUGGCUAUUGUGAAUAAUGCUGUUUUGAACGUGGGUGUGCUACAUAGUUACUUUUUAAAAUUGGCACAACAGCGCUGUCUUUUGACAUACGUAUUUUAUGGAAAACACAAGAUUUUCCUGGCUGACGCUCAACCUCAUAAUUUGGACCUUGGUGCAACACAAUAAUAGGAGAGCUAUGUGUCAGUAUAUAUCACUAAGGAUUACAAUGAGAGUAUAUACAGUCAGUAUUACAAAUUAUAAAAAGAAAUGUAGGCCAGGCACGGUGCCUCACACCUGUAAUCCCAGCACUUUGGGAGGCCAAGGUGGGUGGAUUACCUGAGGACAGGAGUUCGAAACCAGCCUGGCCAACAUGGUGAAAACCUGUAUCUACUAAAAAUACAAAAAUUGGCCAGGUGUGGUGGCGCAUGCCUGUAAUCCCAGCUACUCAGGAGGCUGAGAUGGGAGAAUUGCUUGAACCUGGGAGGCAGAGGUUGCACUGAGCCAAGAUUGUGCCACUGUACUCCAGCCUGGGCAACAGAGCGAGACUCUUUUUUAAUAAAUAAAUAAAUAAAUAAAUAUAUAAAAGAAACGUAAUGAAAGAGAGAGAACUCUGAACUUUUAAAGAACUUUUCACCCAGUCUUGAUCUAUCUGACAGAAAGGCUUGUCAGAGAAAGUUAGAGUUCAGAGGCAGCCAAUUGAAUAUAAUUAACUCCAAAUGAAGAUAAACCUUUUCUAAAUCAUAACUGAAGGCUAUAAAAAAUGAGAAUUAUGUUAUUUUUUUUUUGAGACAGGGUCUUACUCUAUUGCCCAGGCUGGAGUGCAGUGGCAUGAUCUGGGCUCACUGAAGCCUGACCUCCUUGGCUCAGGUGAUCCUCCCACCUCAGCCUCCUGAGUAGCUGGGACUACAGCUUUCAGUUACCCGAGAUCAACUGCGGUUUUAAAAUAUUAUGUGGAAAAUUCCAGAAAUACAUAGUAAGUUUUCAAUUGCAUGCCAUUAAAUCUCAUGCUGUCCCUGACCCCUUCCUCUCCGGAGGUGAAUGCUCCCUUUGUCCAGUGGCUCCACGAUGACUACAUUCCCCAAAUUGUUCUCUUAGGAACCCUUUCUGUGUUCAAGGAACCCUUACUUUACUUAAUUAUGGCCCCAAAGCACAAGAUAGGGAUGCCGGCAUACUGUUAUAAUUGUUCUAUUUUAUUAUUAGUUAUUGUUGUUCAUCUCUACCUGUGACUAAUUUAUGAAUUCAACUUUAUCAUAGGUAUGUAGGUAUAGGAAAAAAACAUGGUAUGUAUAAGGUUCAGUACUAUCUGCAGUUUCAGACAUCCCCUGGGGGUCUUGGAACAUAUCCCCCGUGGAUAAGGGGAAACUACUGUAAAAGUUUGUGUUUUAUAGAGUAGUUGUGAGAACUACAUUAAUCCAUAAUGUGUGGCUCAUGAUACUCAUUGAUAGAUGGUAGUAGCAACAAUAAAAAAUAAUAUUAUC
rnacentral:lncRNA from 10 species